rnacentral:rRNA from 1 species
UACGUAGGGUGCGAGCGUUGGUCCGGAAUUAUUGGGCGUAAAGAGCUCGUAGGCGGUUUGUCGCGUCGACUGUGAAAACCCGAGGCUUAACCUCGGGCCUGCAGUCGAUACGGGCAGACUAGAGUUCGGUAGGGGAGACUGGAAUUCCUGGUGUAGCGGUGAAAUGCGCAGAUAUCAGGAGGAACACCGGUGGCGAAGGCGGGUCUCUGGGCCGAUACUGACGCUGAGGAGCGAAAGCGUGGGGAGCGAACAGG